UUUGGUCCCUUCCAGCUCGGGGUUCGGGAACACGUGCGAUGGAAGCCGCGCCGUACGCGGUGCGAUGCCCGUCGUUGUGCGGGUUGGGCUGGGAGCACGUGGCUUCGUAGAAUGGGCUGGGUUGAAAAGGACCGCAGUGCUCUUCCAGUUCCAACCCCUUGCUGUGCGGGGUCCCAAGCACCCGACCAGGCUGCCCAGAGCCACAUCCCGCCUACACGUCCUCGUGCUUUCCUUCUGCUCUUCUUAGAAGUGGCCCCUCGAUUCCCCAUUUCUAGCUCCUUUGCCUGAAUUCCUUCUCACUGAGACUUCACCGCAGCGAUCCUUCCUUUUCCCAGUACUGCCCCGUACCCCCGUGGCUGAGCAGUGGGGCGGUGGGGACAUGCCGACCCCCGGUGCAGCAAAACAGAGCUGUGUGGGAGGGACGCUCCUUCAAACAGUGGCAGAAAAGGACACAAAGCAGCACAACAUGUCUUUGGAGUGCGGCACUUCUGGGCAGGGGGCUGGAUUUUCUCAGGCUCGUCGUUUUUUUCAGAGCAGAUCCUCCCUUUGCCUUCCCGCAGCUCUGUUGCUCUUACUAUCCCUGUGUUGCACGUAUCCACCUCUUCUUGGGCUGUUACACGUGUCCCCCCACCCCCUGCCUGGACCUGGCCUGGUGUCUGUGCAUUGCAGCCUUUCCUGGGCAAGGACACAGCUGCUGCCAUCCUAACAGAGGCAUGGGCAACGCUGUGGGCCUGUGGCUGUGGGUCCAAGCACUGCUGCUUGUGGCUCUUUGGGCAUCUCUGUCUUGGAGCUGCCAGUUGUUGGGAGAGAUGGACUGCAGGGCUCCUCCACCCCUCUGUCAGCGCUCAUCCCUUUAUUUGGCUGCGAGGAGAGCGGCGGUGCUGGUUAUAUACGUGGUCUGCAGAGAGCAGCUCAGAGCACGACUGCCAUUUGAAGGCAUUUACAAGGAAACUCAGGCAAGGAGCCAGCUCUUGUGCUCAGCUCCAGUCUGAUUUGCUGGUUGUUUGCAGCAGAAGAGAAUUUUUUUUUUUCUUUAAGAGCAAAAAGGCAGCUUUUUGUAAAGGGUGGGCUGCAGAACGUGCCUAACGGAAGCAUUCAGCACAUGCAACAGGAUGCAGGGAGUUGCUGUGUGCCAUUAUUGAGGCUGCUGGGUGCCCUGUUGGAGCUCAGCAGGGGGCUGCUCUGUGUCUUCUUAGGAAACAGCUGAGAGCAUGGGAGGGUUUGUGUGAGCAGAUAAAGCUUCACAUCUCUGCUGAGUGGUGAUUGAUUUGUGGGGAGAGUGCUUAAGUUGGCACUACAGGGCUCUGUAUGCUGGUGGAAGCGCCCUGCAGGAUCUGUGUGACUCUCAAACUGCCAUGCAGGGGUGGGCUCAACCACCUUGCCACCUUCCUUCUGUAAAGGCUGCUUAUUACCCAGCACCAUUCACCUGGGAGAGCCCUGCUGCUCCUGCACUUGGUUGGGAAAUCCCUGGGAGCUGUGCUGGGGCUGGGCUGGGAGUGGCUCGCCCAGCGCCCAGUGCCUGCACUGCGGUAUUUGUGGAGCCCCGAGGGGACUCUAUUUUAGUUGGUCUCACAAAGGCUUGAUUUACAUUUUGCAGGUUUCAACAUGAGCGAGGAGAUCAGGCUUCGCGUGGCCAGCAGUUGUUCAGUGCAGUUAUAUAAAGCAGAUUUAAAGCUCUUUAUCGCUUCCCUCAUACCCUUUAAAUUCCUAAGUUUUCUCCCAUUCCUCUGUCCUGCACCCUUUUGGGAUGCUAAUGCCACUGAGGCAUUCAGGAACGCUAUCCAUGGCGGCACACUUAUUUUAGGGGAUGGAGAGAGCUGGAGUUGGCUGGUGGUUUAGCUGCAGAAAUAGCUGCUGUUUGUGCUCGCCCUGUGUCACAGGAAGGGUUCAUCACUGGCCUUGAUACAGCCAGUGACUGCUUUUGCAGUCCGAAAUCUUGGGAACUUUGCAGCUCGGAACUCUUUGCUUAAUGAACAACGUGUGGUUUGCUCAGUAGCGUUUCCCUCGCAAGUAGCAGCCCUGGCUGCUGCUUUAUGGGGGGAUGAAUGUGGAUCUGCAGGCAGCACGGGGACAGCCACCUCCAUGCUGGGGGGAAUGGGCCUCUGGUUCCCAGGGUUUGUAAACUGCGGUGUAAAGAAUGUAAAUGCAAGCCUGGGAAUGUUGUCUGACAGCGUGCAGCUCUGUGGUGCGGUACAGCUCUGUCCGUGGGGAAAGAUACAUCCCUCACUGGUUGCUUCAGAAAAUACCACGGGUUUUAUAAUGUCCCUGUAAACAGUGGAAAUCUCUGUUGUCCUGCUGCACAAACAGGAACGGGUUGGUUUUUCCCCCAGGUGCUUUACAGGCUCGAGGUGAGGGGCGAGUGGUGGUGCCUGUGCUGAGGGCUGUGGUGUUACCACCUGCUCUGUGUGUGAGACCCUGUGAAGAGCACGACCCAUUGACAUCCAUUUGCAAGGAGUGUCCUUGGGAUGGCCCGUAGCAUCCUUUGAGUGACCUGACUUUGAGAGGACAUCUUUGCUAUAUGCUGGAGUAGCCUAUGAGAACAUACGCGUUGUGAAUUGUGUUUGCUGACUGCUUUCCAUGCUGUGGGGCUGGGAUGUGGGCUGGAGCUGCUCUUAGCCUUGUGGGAGUGGGCUUUGGGGUUGAAGCAUACAUUCUGGCUUUUUCCUCUGCAGAAGCUUGGAAAAUGGUGAAAACCCAUCAACUGUAAAAAGGAGCAGAAGUUAUAUUUAAAUUGAAAUACCAAUACCACCCGACCUUGUUCUUUAAUCUCUUUUCCACUGGUCCAGGCCUGAUUGAGAGAUCAUCUAAAAACAACAGAAGCCCAUGAAAUGUGGUGAUCUUCACCAUUUUGUUUGGAAACUGGGUGGCACAGCUUUCCUGGUUUCCAUGCUUCUACUUGUUGUAGAUAUUCCGAUGCGAUAGUCAUCAAAGAGAUGCUUCCAGUGCUAAUCACGCCUGCAGUCCUGACACAACACAGCUGUGUUCGCUCGUGGAGAAUUUAAAAAUUUCCUCUUUCAGAAAUAGUAUCCAAAAACUAUUGUUGGAUUUUGUCUGUGUGUGUGUGUGUGUAGGUGAGCCAGUAUGGUCUUGUAUAUAGGAAGCAGAACUCCAGAUAGAUGUAGGAUCUUUGUACGUUUGGUUUUGGGCACUGUUGUUUCUGUGGGGGAAGGUGUUUGUAGGGAUGGUACGUUGAGAUUUUGCAAAGACGCAGGAUUUGUGGAUUCCUGUGGAUUUCUGUAGCAUUCUGGUCUUUGUUGCAGAAAGAAAUGCUUGGAGAGUUGAUUAUUCUUAUUGGGUGCCAUGUUCUACUGAACCAAACCACCAGGACCUGCUGGGUAGGGAUGGUUGUUCUCAGCACCUCGGUGGCUCGCGUGUGGCUGUCCGCAGGGCCUGCUCCCUCCCGUGCUGCAAGGCCGAGUGAGCUCUGUAGAGCCUCAAGCUGGCAGCACUCCAGUUCUCAGCAAAUUGCUUUCAUCUUGUGAUUUAUUUUCUCAAGGUCUGCUUUCUGGCCCAGCCUCCAUUGGCCCUGAGGAGCCGCGGUUUCUGCCGUGCGCCCAGCACCUGGCACAUGGCUGCAGGGUGCUGCUGAGGGGGGGUAAAGUGCCUGCAUCCAGACAUGUUCUCUUGUUAAAACAGAUUUUCUUUCCUUUCCUCAUGUGUUCCAUUUUGGUAGUGCAGUUUUGGAAAGAAAAAUCUUGAUAAUUCUCUUUGAAUUAAGAGGUGAUGUUGCUCGUCAGGGGCUUUAAGCUAAUGGUUGCACUUGGUCUCUUAAAGAGGGAAUAAAUGGGCCCAUUUCUUCAUGCAUGUGUGGGGUGGGUGUCUGAGCUCGGUGAUGCUGGUGACCUCAUGGAGACCGAUGGAACGGAGAAUUGCUCCCUUCUGGAAAAGCCUUUCUUGAUUUCACAGUGUUCAGUAGGCUUGCUUGACUUAAGUAACGUUUUUUCUUUUCUGAGGACUUCUGCAGUCCGUUUCUGGUUCUGCCAGUUAUUUAUAGGCCUUCCAUCUGCAGCCCUUGACGUGUCCAUCCUGUGGGAUUUGGCUGUGGGACGCUCUUCCCGGCAGCUCCUGGGCCGGGUGAGGGGCAGCCCUCGGUGGGGCCGCACCGCCUCCAUCUUUGGACACGGCCGAUAUGUGGGUGUGCAGCCUGCAUUGCUUGCCUCUCCUUUCUCAGCUCCCUGCAUCCUGCCUGGGCCCUCUUGUUCCCAUAUCCCUGCUCCUGGCGUGUGUGGGCUGUGUGUUUGGGGUCCCUCCCCGAUCUCCUGUUGGUGAAGGGCAGCCUUCUUCCUGCUGCCCUCUCAAGGUUUCGGCAAAGGGAUGCCGGGAUGGAGAUCCAUGGGCGCUCUGCAGGCAUGAGUUAACUGAUUAAAUUACCAGCAUUACACGAGUCACUGCUCUUCUGCUUUCUAAGCAGAGUGACUCUGCGUGCAUCUGUACGUACACACCACCUCUUUCUCAUCCUGAAUGGCUGUUGGCCCUGGUAGUUUGUCAGUCUGAACACAUGGAGCUGCGUGUUGCGGUGCCAGAGCCCUUGACUUCUGGUUAGGAUGGAGGCCUGUGGUUUGGGGAAGGGCUUCUGUUUCAAAUACCUCAAGGAAACAAUGGCACAGCUUGCAGAAAGACACAUCUGGUACUGCAGUGCUCUUAAUUGUGUCAGUUACUAUCUUAAAAAGGUGGUGAUGGUCCUAAAAAAGUGAAAUUUCUCCAUUCCUAGAUGCAUUUCUUUGCACUGGGGAACUGGGGCUACUGGAUGAAGACAAGGCAUUUGGAAGCUGCCUCAAUAGAUGAUGCGUUUAAAGAGACUCUUACUGACCCUGUGUUCCCUGGCAUCUCUGUGAAGGCCUUGUUGUGUCACCGUGAGUCACCACAGACAUCUCCACUCCCCUGGGAGCUGCCAGCAGCUGGCCCAGAGCCUCCAGGCUGAGACUGGGUUACUCAUAGAGCCAGGACAGCAGGGAGGAGUGGUGCUUGUGGCACUGCUGGCUGCUGGGCAGCUUCAUGUGUGUUCUCAGUACGUCCAUCCCCAGCAGGAUGCAGGAGCUGUGUAAGGGUAUAGCAUCACAGAAUCACCAAGGUUGGAGAAGACCUCCAAGGUCAUCUGGUCUAGCCAUCUGCUUAUCACCAAUACUUCCCACUAAACCAUGUCCCUCAGUACAACAUCUAAACAUGUCCAUGGCAGCGUGGAAGAUGCUAGAAAUCCUGAACUCAGAGGAGCCUUUGGGGUCCCUCUCAACCUAAGCCAUUCUGUGACUCUGAAAGUUGGUAAGGAACAUCAGAUUUCCCCAAAUCAGAUUGGUUGAGUUUCUGUGCUUUGUGCAAACAAAAGCAUGACAACAAUGAUGCUGCUUUUUGAUAACAAAUGAUAUUUUGCUCCUGAUUCAUUCUACCUUACAGUGGUGCCUGAGAAGUGGAGCAGCUGUGAUGCAGCUGCAGCGCUGGCUGUUUGUGAGCAUGGGGUUGCAGCCCUUGUGAGGUGCUCAGACAAGUCAGAGGAGGGAUGGUUUGAGUUUUGGUACACUUGAAGUACUUGGCUCUGGUCUUUCCCUACUUACUAACCAAAUGGAUGUUUAUUACUGCCAAGGAUUUGGAUGUGCUGUAGCAGCAGUGGUGUGGUUUGUGCUGCUGACGCUGCUCCCUGCACGCAGUGUCACUUGCACAUGGAAGGGGCCAGAAAUCUUUAUGGGAAGCUCGGUUCUUCCUAUUGCAAAACCUCAUUCCGAAUUUGACUCCUCGUUAAUUUGUCCAUGAAUUGAUUGCCUUUUUCAUGUCAUCCAGAUGGUCUGUUGCAACUUCAGGGGCUGUGGCACGUUCUUUUGUUGAAUGCUUGGUGGGAAAUUAACAUGCUGCUCUGGCAGAUGGGAGGGACCCUGUCCUCUGGCCUUUCUGUCACGCAAAUCCAGCUUUUCUCUUUCUCCCCUACCCCUAAAAAGUCUACAUUAACUUGAAAACAGUGGGAGGGAAUUAAAUGUGUUUUGAAAGGGUGAUCCCAUGGGUAGGGGUGGUAUUGAGUGCUUACACAGGGUAUAGAAAGGGCUUGUGGGAAGAGAGGUUGUUCAGCAAAAUGAAUGGCGUUUAGAGUUGUUAAUCUGUGUCAUUAGCACUGUGUACCAGAAAGUUUAAACUGUGCCUGACUGAAUAGCACGAGUCUUUGAAAUUCACAGCAGUGCUGGCAGCCCGCUGGCUUUUAUCCUCUCUUGCUGCACCCUGCCUGCUCCAGCUGUUGUGCCCAGCAUCCUGCGUGCUCCACAUCCCCACUGCUCCCUCGUUUCAGCUGCCAGAAAGCCAUCUGUGAAGAACCCGCAAGAGGUUGACUUGAAGAGACCUGCAGAAAGCAAGUUGGUGUUGCCAUUGGACCCACGGAGUGAAAGAGAGUUAUGUUUAAAGGCUUGAAGAGGAGGAUUCUUAAGCCAAUGGAAGAGAGUACUUGUCAUUCUGAAUCAGCAGUUACCGAGGAAUUAAUAAACAGGUGGUGCAUCAUUCCAGGAACGUCUUCCAUCUCCCCUGCCUAAAGGCCACAUGCUGCUUUUCUUUGAAGGAUAUGAACAAAAUUAAACAAGCAUUAAGCUUUUCCAAAACUAAACAUGGGCAAUAGGGGUGUGUUGGGCUCCCAGUUACGGGCUCGGCUCAUGGCACCUCUGAUUGCUACCUGAUCUGUGCCGUUCAGGUACCUGCUUCUUUCCCUCUUCUCUUCCACUGGCCCCACAGUUUUUAUGCUGCAGCUUCGUGCCUGGUUACUGUGACAGCAGAGCAUAGGGCAGAAGUGUGCUGGUGCCCAAGCAGUGCAGCAUUUUUGGGCCACGUCCUUCAUUUGGAAGGAGGCAGUGAAGAUGUGGC